rnacentral:misc_RNA from 1 species
AACGCACAUUGCGCCCCUUGGUAUUCCAUGGGGCAUGCCUGUUCGAGCGUCAUUUGUACCUUCAAGCUCUGCUUGGUGUUGGGUGUUUGUCUCCUGUAGACUCGCCUUAAAACAAUUGGCAGCCGGCGUAUUGAUUUCGGAGCGCAGUACAUCUCGCGCUUUGCACUCAUAACGACGACAUCCAAAAGUACAUUUUUACACGCUUGACCUCGGAUCAGGUAGGGAUACCCGCUGAACUUAA